AUGCCGAACAUUUCUGCUAAGAGAUUCUGUCCUCCAGUGCAGGGGCCAUUGUCACAAACUGAGUGUCAUGGGCUUCCAGACCUCUGUGGGAGCUGUUCCUGCCCUGAGCUGCUCCUCUCGCCAAAUCCUCUUCUCCCUCCCUCGCUCCUCACCAGGCCUUCCUUUCAGCUGCCCGGAGACCCACAAAGUGCCUGCCUCUCUAAUAAGCAUGAGGCACAGAGAAAGGGGAUGAGGUGGGAAAGAGAGAAGCAACCCCAGGCUCUGGGAGGUGGCCCUGGUCCCCCAGGGCCCAGUCCAGGGUCACCGAAGCCACUCACAGAGAAAGGGGAUGAGAUGGGAAAGAGAGAAGCAACCCCAGGCUCUGGGAGGUGGCCCUGGCUCCCCACUGGUAAGGGUGUAAGGGGUAGGGUCUGGGGCAAGUGGCUCUCGUGGCCGACACACACGCCUGGUCUUGAGGAAAUUCCAGAGAAUGCCAGUUUGGAAUCGGCUCUCUGUUCCCAAGGCCUGCGGUAUCCCCAAGCACUACAGGAGGCUUUGGGGGAACAGUUGGCUUUCUGUCUGCCCAGGGCAGGGGGCACCUGGUGCGUUUCUGGGGCUCCCUUAGCAUUGCAGGUUUCUAGCUCGUCCUAAAUCUCUCUUUGGGGGAAAUCUUUCCUGCUGCAGGUGACUACAUCUUCUGUCCCCGAGGGACGGGCCUGGCCCUUGCACCCUCUGGUUGCCUUCUCUCUGACGCCCAGAGUUCCAUGAGUGCUUGUCACCAUACCGGGGACCCCCAGGGUCUGCUGGAUUUUGUCCAAACGACACCCCAGAAACCAAAUAAAACAGUUGAGGGAUCCCUGGGUGGCGCAGCGGUUUAGCGCCUGCCUUUGGCCCAGGGCGCGAUCCUGGAGACUCGGGAUCGAAUCCUACGUCGGGCUCCCGGUGCAUGGAGCCUGCUUCUCCCUCUGCCUAUGUCUCUGCCUCUCUCUCUCUGUGACUAUCAUAAAUAAAUAAAAUUUAAAAAAAAUAAAAUAAAAUAAAACAGUUGAAAUAUGUGAUUUUUUGCAUGGCUUUGUGAGAGGUUAGUGUCCAUCAGGGGUCAUCCUCUGCCUGGGGACGUCAGUGGACAAGGGGGCCCAGAAUCACCGGGAUUUCUGUCUUUGGUCUGUGGCAGAUGUUAUGAGCAUGCUGAAUUAAGAAUGAUAAGAUUUCUGGGGCACCUGGGGGGCUCAAUCAGUUAAGCAUCCAACUCUUGAUUUCAGCUCAGGUCAUGAUCUCAGGGUGGUGGGAUGGAGCCUCGCAUCGGGCUCUGUGUUCAGCGCAGAGUCGGCUCGUCUCUCUCCCUCUGCUUUUCCUCUCUUCCUCUGCUUUUCCUGCUCUUCCUCUCUCUCACAUAAAUAAAUAAAAACUUAAAAAGAAAAAAGAAUGAUAAGAUUUCUGUACUCAAUGUUCUCCUUCCUCACAACACACUGCCUUUGUUCUAAUGCACAGAGAGCUUGUAUAACUUGCCUAUGGUCACAAAGCAAAGUGGAUGGCGCUGGGAUUUGAAUCAUGCUCCGGCUGGUGCACAGCAUGUGCAAACGUUCCCACAA
rnacentral:lncRNA from 1 species